rnacentral:rRNA from 1 species
UACCAGCACCCCGAGUGGUCGGGACGAUUAUUGGGCCUAAAGCAUCCGUAGCCGGUUCUACAAGUCUUCCGUUAAAUCCACCUGCUCAACAGUUGGGCUGCGGAGGAUACUAUAGAGCUAGGAGGCGGGAGAGGCAAGCGGUACUUAGUGGGUAGGGGUAAAAUCCGUUGAUCCAUUGAAGACCACCAGUGGCGAAGGCGGCUUGCCAGAACGCACUCGACGGUGAGGGAUGAAAGCUGGGGGAGCAAACAGG